rnacentral:rRNA from 1 species
UACGUAGGUGGCGAGCGUUGUCCGGAUUUAUUGGGUUUAAAGGGUGCGUAGGCGGCCCUAUAAGUCAGUGGUGAAAUAUCGCAGCUUAACUGUGAGGGUGCCAUUGAUACUGUAGGGCUUGAGUGAAUUUGAGGUAGGCGGAAUUGACGGUGUAGCGGUGAAAUGCGUAGAUAUCGAGAGGAACACCAGUGGCGAAGGCGAGUCCCUGGACAGGUCCUGACGCUGAGGCACGAAAGCUAGGGGAGCAAACAGG